rnacentral:rRNA from 1 species
UUGGAAGUAAAAGUCGUAACAAGGUCUCCGUUGGUGAACCAGCGGAGGGAUCAUUACUGAGUUACCGCUCUAUAACCCUUUGUGAACAUACCUAACCGUUGCUUCGGCGGGCAGGGGAAGCCUCUCGCGGGCCUCCCCUCCCGGCGCCGGCCCCCACCACGGGGACGGGGCGCCCGCCGGAGGAAACCAAACUCUAUUUACACGACGUCUCUUCUGAGUGGCACAAGCAAAUAAUUAAAACUUUUAACAACGGAUCUCUUGGUUCUGGCAUCGAUGAAGAACGCAGCGAAAUGCGAUAAGUAAUGUGAAUUGCAGAAUUCAGUGAAUCAUCGAAUCUUUGAACGCACAUUGCGCUCGCCAGCAUUCUGGCGAGCAUGCCUGUUCGAGCGUCAUUUCAACCCUCAAGCACCGCUUGGUUUUGGGGCCCCACGGCACACGUGGGCCCUUAAAGGUAGUGGCGGACCCUCCCGGAGCCUCCUUUGCGUAGUAACUAACGUCUCGCACUGGGAUCCGGAGGGACUCUUGCCGUAAAACCCCCCAAUUUUUUACAGGUUGACCUCGGAUCAGGUAGGAAUACCCGCUGAACUUAAGCAUAUCAAUA